rnacentral:rRNA from 1 species
UACGUAGGGUGCAAGCGUUAAUCGGAAUUACUGGGCGUAAAGCGUGCGCAGGCGGUGAUGUAAGACAGAUGUGAAAUCCCCGGGCUCAACCUGGGAACUGCAUUUGUGACUGCAUCGCUGGAGUACGGCAGAGGGGGAUGGAAUUCCGCGUGUAGCAGUGAAAUGCGUAGAUAUGCGGAGGAACACCGAUGGCGAAGGCA